GACGAACGCUGGCGGCAUGCCUAAUACAUGCAAGUCGAGCGAACAGAUGAAGUGCUUGCACUUCUGACGUUAGCGGCGAACGGGUGAGUAACACGUAAGGAAUCUACCUAUAAGCGGGGGAUAACAUUCGGAAACGGGUGCUAAUACCGCAUAAUAUCUUCUUCCGCAUGGAAGAAGAUUGAAAGACGGCUCUGCUGUCACUUAUAGAUGACCUUGCGGUGCAUUAGUUAGUUGGUGGGGUAACGGCCUACCAAGACGAUGAUGCAUAGCCGACCUGAGAGGGUGAUCGGCCACAUUGGGACUGAGACACGGCCCAAACUCCUACGGGAGGCAGCAGUAGGGAAUCUUCCGCAAUGAGCGAAAGCCUGACGGAGCAAUGCCGCGUGAGUGAAGAAGGCCUUCGGGUCGUAAAACUCUGUUAUAAGAGAAGAACAAAUUGUAGAGUAACUGCUACAGUCUUGACGGUAUCUUAUCAGAAAGCCACGGCUAACUACGUACCAGCAGCCGCCGUAA
rnacentral:rRNA from 1 species